GGAGAGAUGGCCGAGUGGUCUAAGGCGCACGCCUGGAGAGCGUGUUACCGCCUAAAGCGGUACGAGGGUUCGAAUCCCUCUCUCUCCGC
rnacentral:tRNA from 1 species